UACGUAGGAGACGAGCGUUGUCCGGAAUUACUGGGCGUAAAGCGCGUGUAGGCGGAUGAGCAAGUCUGCUGUGAAAGCUCCUGGCUUAACCGGGAAUGGUCGGUGGAAACUGCUCGUCUGGAGGACGGUAGAGGUAGGUAGAAUUCCCGGUGUAGUGGUGAAAUGCGUAGAGAUCGGGAGGAAUACCUGUGGCGAAGGCGGCCUACUGGGCCGGACCUGACGCUGAGACGCGAAGGCGUGGGGAGCGAACGGG
rnacentral:rRNA from 1 species